GAAAAACAAAAAAAAAGAUCUGAUUUUUUUUCGUAAUCCACGAUCUCCACCUAAUUCAACUUCCCACUUUCAUCAACUCACCUUCUUCAAAUCUCACCACGAUCUCUAAAGUCUCCACUUUCCUUCUUCUCUUCGACAAUGGAAUUCCUAUAAAAGCCUCUGUAUUUCUUUCUUUUCUGCUUUGGUUUUCUUACAACUUUAUCCGGGUUUUGAUUCAUCUUCACCGUUUGUCUUCCCAUAAUCCUAUUGAAUCUGGAGUAAGUUGCAACCAUUCCAAUCCACAAAAAGCAGAAGCAAACGUUACGUUUUAUUGUCGAUGCCGAAAAAUUAGUGUUGAACUACAUCUCUGUUUCUGCAAGGUUUUUGGCAGCUUUAAGCUUAUGACUCUUCUCUUACGUUUGUGGCUCCCAACGUCAAGUGUUUGACUCUUUUCAGAAACUAGAGUAUUCAAGGUCCAAUCCAAACUGUAGGAAGCUUGCUAAUCUCACGCAAGACUGGAAUCAAAAGGAUUAGAACGCAUAUGGUGUAAAGGAACAAAGAAGUUCACAGUUAUAUUGUACCAUAUGGAGAUUAAAUAGUGCAUGAGAGAAGACGAUCCAACAUCAAAAACUAAAUGAGCUUUUAGGAUGAACUCGAGAGAACAUGAUCCCACAAAUUACAAGUUCUCUUGAUUAUUAACAUCAUCUGUUAGUUGUUUGGUUCUUUUAUGGGCACAACUGUUAAUGUAUUUAUCCAUGUUAACGAUAGUUUUGUAUUUCCAAAAUUUUAUAGGCAUAUGUAUAAUAUUCAAUAUUUAUGAAUUUAUUGAGAAACCA